GAAUCGACUGCAAACUUGUUAUUGGACGCACCCGACAAUCCCAUACUUCUCCCUCCUUCCACGAACUAGGGUUUGCCGCCGCGGCAUUGUUCCGCACCCACGACUCCACGCGGCUCACUAUGGCCGUCGCCAGUGGGGCGCGCGAGGGGUAGAUGGGGAGGAGAGUGAUUCAUCGCGGAGAAGCCAACUCGGAUGAGCGCAGGGAGAGAGGCCAUGGAGGGUCGUGGAAUUGGGCGCCGCGCCGAUCUACUCUUACAGCGAGUCCCAGACUCCUCAGCGCCGCCGACUGAGGGGAGUACGCGGAGGUCGAUCCCGUCGUCUCGCCACCAACCCCUUGCUCCUCCUAGCAACCGUUUCUCGAUUCAUUCGCUUGCCCAGAUCGUUGAUCCGUUUGCUUUGCUCCGCUGCUGGAUUUGUCGCAGUACAACGACGUUCUUGUCAAGGGCGCGUCCAAGACCGUGUCACCAUCAAUAACUCUGACACGGGCGCCGCUGUCGCCAUGAAGAUCCUCGACAAGUCCACCAUCGUCAACCACCGCAUGAUGCACCAGGUAGCUGCCCUGCCCUCCUGUCUGCUCAGUCUGCUUGACCUUCAUCCAUCCAGUUUCGAUUUCCACUAGCACAAAUCUAAAUCAAACUCUUCUUGCUCCCGUCCUGUCCUAGCUUUGAUACAAGCAAUUUUCUAUUGUUGUUGGCUGGUUCCUUUUAUAUUCUGUAAAUCUUAAUCUCUGUAUGGCUUAUUUGGCCAUCUACUGAGUACAUUUGAGGUAUCUUAGAUGACAUUGUUCUUCACUCUUGUGUUCUUUAUGCGUGGGGUGCUGCCAAGUGCCUUCAAGGCACAUGCAUGUAAUUUAUGUAAUUGAACAUAUAAGUUAAAAAGGAUUAGCCUUCUAAUAUAUUUUCCACUUUAGUGGUUAGCUGACACCUUCGUAUCGUACAUAUAUGGUCUUGUAGUUUAGACUGAUCAUAAAGUUUGGGUAGUUAUUGUUUCAUUUUUUGUUAAAAGUUCACAUUCCAGGGAACUGAUUUUCUGCUGUGGUGAAUGUUAAAGAGAGAACCAGGAAAGUAGUGUGUAUGGUUAUUUGGGUAUCGCAAUUGGUUAGCGAUAGAGUUCACAAGAAGAUGCAUUAGCCUUGUUCUGCCGGAGAUGUUGCACGGCCUGAAUCUGUAUAUCAAAAUACUAGGUAAGAAUAGCAUAAGAUAAAUAGAAGGAACAAAAUUACUUGAGCCAAACUACGUAACUAAACAGAGACGGUAGGCGUUUCACAAAAAAAGAUGAUAGGCCGAAGAUUACUGCCAUCCUAUCAAAGAUACUAAGAACAGCAUGUAAGACAAGAAAAGAGAACCAUGUAGCUUUUUAUCUAUCAAAGAUAAUGUAAAAUGUUUGGUCUAUGUUCAGAAGAAACGAGAAGUAGUGUAAAAAGUUUGAUAGCCUUUUAGGGAAAAUUUUGGUCUAUGCACCUCAUGCAUUCAGCAGUACCAAAAAAAAUACUGAUUUAACAUUUGUUAAUGUUCUCUUCGCUAAUGGUUAUCAAGCUGCUUUGCCUAAGCACAAUGACUCGCAACCCGCUAUGAAAUCUACUAUUUGAUCAACUAGUGGAUUCCCCGCGCGUUGCCGCAGAAAUCUAAGAGUUCCUCUAUUUUCAAAAAAAAAGAAAUCUAAGAGUUCCUUAUGGCUGCAUGGUUAGAAGUUAGAAACAAAUAAGUCACUUGUCUUUCCGAUCAAACUGAUAUGGGUAUACAACCUGGCAUUAACAAUAUGAUAUUGGUGUAUGUACACAUAUAAUUCAACACCUGAGAAACGAUGACUUUCAGAAAACAUUCAUUAAAAUAGACAAAACAAUAGAGAUUUUUACCAAUCUCAUUACUAUAGGUGGUUUGCUGUUCGAGGCGACGACUCUUUCUGGCUUAUUUUCUUAGGAAGCUAGUUUGGUUGGUUAGAUCAUCUUCAACAACUUUUUUUUAUAUUUGGUCGUAUAUACCAAGAUAUCGACAAUAGUCUAAAAGGCUUCCUUGUC